UACGUGAGGGGGCAAGCGUUGUCCGGAUUUAUUUGGGCGUAAAGGAGCGUGUAGGCGGCCAGAUAGGUCCGUUGUGAAAACUGGAGGCUUAACCUCCAGCCGUCGAUGGAAACCAUUUGGCUAGAGUCCGGGAAGAGGAGAGUGGAAUUCCUGGUUCGUAGCGGUGGAAAUGACGCAGAUAUCAGGAAGAACACCCGUGGCGAAGGCGGCUCUCUGGGACGGUACUGACGGCUGAGACGCGAAAGCGUGGGGAGCGAACAGG
rnacentral:rRNA from 1 species